GAUGAACGCUGGCGGCGUGCCUAAUACAUGCAAGUCGAGCGAACAGACGAGGAGCUUGCUCCUCUGACGUUAGCGGCGGACGGGUGAGUAACACGUGGAUAACCUACCUAUAAGACUGGGAUAACUUCGGGAAACCGGAGCUAAUACCGGAUGAUAUAUUGAACCGCAUGGUUCAAUAGUGAAAGACGGUGUUGCUGUCACUUAUAGAUGGAUCCGCGCUGCAUUAGCUAGUUGGGAAGGUAACGGCUUACCAAGGCAACGAUGCGUAGCCGACCUGAGAGGGUGAUCGGCCACACUGGAACUGAGACACGGUCCAGACUCCUACGGGAGGCAGCAGUAGGGAAUCUUCCGCAAUGGGCGAAAGCCUGACGGAGCAACGCCGCGUGAGUGAUGAAGGUCUUCGGAUCGUAAAACUCUGUUAUUAGGGAAGAACAAAUGUGUAAGUAACUGUGCACGUCUUGACGGUACCUAAUCAGAAAGCCACGGCUAACUACGUG
rnacentral:rRNA from 1 species